GACGAACGCUGGCGGCGUGCCUAAUACAUGCAAGUAGAACGCACAGUCUAUACCGUAGCUUGCUACACCAUAGACUGUGAGUUGCGAACGGGUGAGUAACGCGUAGGUAACCUGCCUGGUAGCGGGGGAUAACUAUUGGAAACGAUAGCUAAUACCGCAUAAUAUUAAUUAUUGCAUGAUAAUUGAUUGAAAGAUGCAACUGCAUCACUACCAGAUGGACCUGCGUUGUAUUAGCUAGUAGGUGAGGUAACGGCUCACCUAGGCGACGAUACAUAGCCGACCUGAGAGGGUGAUCGGCCACACUGGGACUGAGACACGGCCCAGACUCCUACGGGAGGCAGCAGUAGGGAAUCUUCGGCAAUGGACGAAAGUCUGACCGAGCAACGCCGCGUGAGUGAAGAAGGUUUUCGGAUCGUAAAGCUCUGUUGUAAGAGAAGAACGGGUGUGAGAGUGGAAAGUUCACACUGUGACGGUAUCUUACCAGAAAGGGACGGCUAACUACGUG
rnacentral:rRNA from 1 species